ACACUAAUUCCUAAAGGUAAAUAUCAACUGGUAAUUCUGAUCAUGUUAGGCACUCGGAAUUUCAGUUGGUAUGCACUUUUUUGAAUUG
rnacentral:pre_miRNA from 12 species